rnacentral:sRNA from 1 species
GGAAGGAUCAUUAAAGAAUGCCCCGUUUUUUGAAAUGGGUUCUAUUCCCAAACCGUGUCUACAUACCUUUGUUGCUUUGGCGGGCCGCCUUCAGGCGUUGGCCUCGGCUAACUGCGCCCGCCAGAGGAUCCAAACUCGUUUGUUUAGUGAUGUCUGAGUACUAUAAAAUAGUUAAAACUUUCAACAACGGAUCUCUUGGUUCUGGCAUCGAUGAAGAACGCAGCGAAAUGCGAUAAGUAAUGUGAAUUGCAGAAUUCAGUGAAUCAUCGAAUCUUUGAACGCACAUUGCGCCCUUUGGUAUUCCGAAGGGCAUGCCUGUUCGAGCGUCAUUAUAACCACUCAAGCCUAGCUUGGUCUUGGGGUUCGCGGUCUCGCGGCCCUUAAAAUCAGUGGCGGUGCCGCCUGGCUCUAAGCGUAGUAAUUCUCUCGCUAUAGAGUCUAGGUGGUUACCUGCCAGAACCCCCCCUCUUACGGUUGACCUCGGAUCAGGUAGGGAUACCCGCUGAACUUAAGCAUAUCAAUAAGCGGAGG